UACGUAGGGGGCAAGCGUUGUCCGGAAUCAUUGGGCGUAAAGCGCGCGUAGGCGGCCCGGUAAGUCCGCUGUGAAAGUCCAGGGCUCAACCCUGGAAAGCCGGCCGAUACUGUCGGACUAGAGUCCGGAAGAGGCAAGUGGAAUUCCCGGUGUAGCGGUGAAAUGCGCAGAUAUCGGGAGGAACACCAAUUGCGAAGGCAGCUUGCUGGGACGGUACUGACGCUGAGGCGCGAAAGCGUGGGGAGCAAACAGG
rnacentral:rRNA from 1 species